rnacentral:rRNA from 1 species
UACGUAGGGUGCAAGCGUUGUCCGGAAUUAUUGGGCGUAAAGAGCUCGUAGGCGGUUUGUUGCGUCGGCUGUGAAAUCUCGAGGCUCAACCUCGGGUCUGCAGUCGAUACGAGCAAACUAGAGUGUGCAGGGGAGACUGGAAUUCCUGGUGUAGCGGUGAAAUGCGCAGAUAUCGAGGAGGAACACCGGUGGCGAAGGCGGGUCUCUGGGCAACUACUGACGCUGGAGGAGCGAAAAGCGUGGGGGAGCGAACAGG